UACGGAGGGUGCAAGCGUUAUCCGGAUUUACUGGGUUUAAAGGGUGCGCAGGCGGAUAUGUAAGUCAGUGGUGAAAUCUUUGGGCUUAACCCGAAAAUUGCCAUUGAUACUAUAUAUCUUGAAUGCUGUGGAGGUAAGCGGAAUAUGUCAUGUAGCGGUGAAAAUGCUUAGAGAUGACAUAGAACACCUAUUGCGAAGGCAGCUUACUACGCAGAUAUUGACGCUCAUGCACGAAAAGCGUGGGGGAUCAAAACAGG
rnacentral:rRNA from 1 species